AGCUGGAAUUGCUAGUAAUGGCAGGUCAGCAUACUGCCGUGAAUACGUUCCCGGGCCUUGUACACACCGCCCGUCACACCAUGAGAGUUGGGGAUACCCGAAGCCUGUGAGCCAACUGUAAAGAGGCAGCAGUCGAAGGUAGAAUCAAUGAUUGGGGUGAAGUCGUAACAAGGUAAC
rnacentral:rRNA from 1 species